rnacentral:rRNA from 1 species
UACGGAGGGGGCUAGCGUUGUUCGGAAUUACUGGGCGUAAAGCGCACGUAGGCGGCUUUGUAAGUUAGAGGUGAAAGCCCGGGGCUCAACUCCGGAAUUGCCUUUAAGACUGCAUCGCUAGAAUUGUGGAGAGGUAAGUGGAAUUCCGAGUGUAGAGGUGAAAUUCGUAGAUAUUCGGAAGAACACCAGUGGCGAAGGCGGACUUACUGGACCAGCAUAUUGACGCUGAGGUGCGAAAGCGUGGGGAGCAAACAGG